AGAAGUGAUGACCGCAGGAAGAGGCGCUGCCUUUUUACCUGCCUGUCGUCAUUGUGAGCACACAAUCAGUCCACAGGGUCCAGGUUACCGUCUCCAUCUGUUGACAUACGGAAACCAAGGCAACCAAGCCGGCCUCCUGGCCUUCCUUACCCCAAAAUUCCGAGCAGAGACUCCCCGGGACAGAAUCUGUUGUUGGUGCACAACCUCUCCCAGAAAGAACUUGGUGUCCUUAGGGACAAGUUCUUGGGCAGAUCAUUGCAGUAGAGUGAAGUCGUGUAUACUGAGAAAUACGAGACGCUUUCUGCAGAAACAAAGGAUGUACAUGCAAUGAUGCACUCAGACAAACUCUCAGAAAGCUGAGAUGAAUCUAGGAAUAUCAAGAUUUAAAGGGAGCCAGAUGAGGUAAUGCAAAAAGCAGCAGCACCAAUUAACCAUAAAAGAAAAAGUCCUGGCUGUAGUUUGACCUGAAAAUAAUGACAGGUGAUGUAGACAGAGUUCAAGGCACAGAAACAGCAACAUCCUGGAGGUCUAAUGUGAACUACCACCAUGGGGGAAAUGUCAUAGGAGACAUAUACAAAUAAAGAGAAUCAAGAAUCUGUGGCUAUGACA
rnacentral:lncRNA from 1 species